rnacentral:tRNA from 1 species
GCGCCAUUAGCUCAAUGGUAGAGCAACUGACUCUUAAUCAGUGGGUUCGGGGUUCGAGUCCCUGAUGGCGCA